ACUUUGGCCACCUCAUGAGAAGAGAAGACUCCCUGGAAAAGACCCUGAUGUUGGGAAAGAUUGAGGGCAGAAGAAGAAGGGGACGACAGAGGACGAGAUGGUUGGACAGCGUUCUCGAAGCUACAAACAUGAGUCUGACCAAACUGCGGGAGGCAGUGGAAGACAGGAGUGCCUGGCGUGCUCUAGUCCAUGGGGUCACGAAGAGUCGGUCACGACUAAACGACUAAACAACAACAACAUGCUGAUUAUCUGAGGCUGGUUAUCCCACAAUUAUUAGGUAUGAAUUACAAGGCAUCACACACACCUCAAAAUAGUGUGAUGUGUACAAAAAUGUGUGUUUUAGGCAGAAACGAGUACAUUCUGCCCCCCCCAUGCAAUUAACUCACACACACACACCUUGCAGUAAAAUGGACAGGCUUAUUAUCAAAUGCAUGAAAAACUGAACAGGAUGGAAAUAAUCUGACCGGUUCAUCCUUAUCCAUCCAGCCCAGCUCCACUCAAAGCAACUCUCAAGCAGAAACUUUUGACCGACAAAUUGCCUACCCUUUACAGGGCUGUUAGUCCCAGAUCUCAGCUGCCUGCCACCUCCUUGCCCCAAAUUGCUAGUCAUUGUUAGCCAACAGCUUCUGGCCUUUUCUUUUAUCAAUUACAUUAACUGGAAUUACGAAGCCAGAGAGCACCCUGUGACAGAAAUUAAGGCAAUUUGGAAUCCCUGCAGCUGUUUUCCUCCAAUGCAUCUAACAGAUGCAGUUCAUUAAGGUUGACUAAGAUAAAUGUCAGGAUUUGUGGGAUUCUUCUUAAGCUUUCUGCCCCCAUGUAUGGCACUGUGGGGAUGCAACGCUGUCUGCCAGGUCAAUUCAGCCAGACACUUUGAGUGAUUCAGGAGGCUGAGGGGUGUUGGUGUUGGUACAAACAGAGAGAGGGGAGAGACAUGCAUGUAAUGUUGUGAGUUAAAUGAUAUAGACAACAAGAAUGGCAACUGGCAUAAAGCACAAUUUGCAGAGAGACUCAUGAGCAUGUAAGAAUUGCACUGCUGGAUCAGACCGACGGCUCAUCUAGUCAGUGCUGGAUUAAACCCUGUGGAGGCCCCUCAGCAGUCAAAAUCUCAGGACAGGGGGCUCACAAGUACAACAGCAAACAAUAUUUAUACUUCUAUUUGUGAAUAUUCUACUAGGAAUCGGGGUCGGCGGGAACUUGUGACACACCAACUCACAGAAAGCUUUGUAUCUGGAUAUACCCUAGUAGGAUAAUAUUGAACUAAGAAAGCUUGGUUGUAAUUUUCUUUCAAGAUCAAAUCAAUAUUGUUUUGAUCCGUUGUCACGGGGCCCCUAAAAGAUGUGGGGCCCAUAGGCCAGUGCCUGCUCUGCUUAUUUGGUAAUCUUGCACUGCAUCUAGUCUAGCAUUCUUCUCUCACCAUUGCUGCCUGACAUGAGCCCCAUGGAGAGGGUGGGUAGGAUCCAAUUGACAUGCCCCUGUGCUCUCCUUUUGAAGAGUAGAGCAAGCAAAGUUAUUGGAACGGUUGAUGCCCUGAGCCUUGGGACUAGGCAAGCAAACAAGUAGUCCUCUGUAGAGGCUGGGCACACAUGGUUUAGUCACACCUUCACUGUUAUCCUUGGAGCCAGAGUUGAUGUUGCCAGCUUACUGGUGGACAUAUCCCCAGGCAUCUCCCCCCAGGGAGAGGCUCUUCAUUAACAGGGUAAGGCACCAGAGCCACCUCAAUAGCUGAUGGCAUAGAGUUUGUGGUGUCCAGUAUCGCAGAGAUGGGCUGCUCUUCUGACGGGCCACUGGAUCCAGUUCUCUCCCACCCAAUCUGCUGGGACCUUCCCCUGGGCAAGUCUCCUCUUGGGAUUCUGAGUUCUCAGCCCUCAACCCACUAGGACCUUUGCCUGGGUCAAUCUUUGCCAAUUUUCUGAGCUUCUCCCCUUCCUCCUUAUCACAGACCAUCCUUUCCAUGUCUCCGUGGGACUCAUGAU